rnacentral:rRNA from 1 species
CCUACGGGUGGCAGCAGUGAGGAAUAUUGGGCAAUGGACGAGAGUCUGAACCAGCAAAGUAGCGUGAAGGAUGACUGCCCUAUGGGUUGUAAACUUCUUUUAUAUGGGAAUAAAAUGUUCCACGUGUGGGAUUUUGUAUGUACCAUAUGAAUAAGGAUCGGCUAACUCCGUGCCAGCAGCCGCGGUAAUACGGAGGAUCCGAGCGUUAUCCGGAUUGAUUGGGUUUAAAGGGAGCGUAGGUGGAUUGUUAAGUAAGUUGUGAAAGUUUGCGGCUCAACCGUAAAAUUGCAGUUGAAACUGGUAGUCGUGAGUACAGUAGAGGUGAGCGGAAUUCGUGGUGUAGCGGUGAAAUGCUUAGAUAUCACGAAGAACUCCGAUUGCGAAGGCAGCUCACUGGACUGCAACUGACACUGAGGCUCGAAAGUGUGGGUAUCAAACAGGAUUAGAUACCCGGGUAGUC